rnacentral:tRNA from 1 species
CCCGUAGCUCAGUUGGUAGAGCAGCGGACUUUUAAUCCGUCGGUCCAGGGUUCGAGCCCCUGCGGG